GACCUGCCCUUCGUGGAAACAGAAUCCACAGCAACUAUGACUUUCAUCACCGUCUUCAUCUGGACACUCCUCAUCUGGGCUCAGGAAUCCAGUGGGCAGGUUACUGUGACUCAGACUCCAGCAGUGAAAUCUGCUGCGCCAGGACAGACAGUCACUGUGAGCUGUAAGACCAGUCCUGCGGUGUAUGGUAACAAUUGGUUAAACUGGUACCAGCAGAAAGCUGGAGAAGCUCCUAAACUCCUGAUCUAUGGAGCAGCUACCCGUCAGAGUGGGAUCCCAGAGCAUUUCAGUGGCAGUGGAUCUGGGACUGACUUCACUCUGACCAUCACAGGAGUCCAGGUUGAAGAUGCAGCAGAUUACUACUGUAUGGGUCAUCACAACCUCAACACUCAUACAAAAACCUCUCUCAGCAGGACUGCACAGUGACUCCACUGCUACAGCUGGGACCUACUGCAGGUGCUGAGGGUGAAGGCAGAGACACAGAACACCACUUGUGAAGGAGCUCAACUGCACACAAACAUAUUUUAAAUCUCACAUAAUUGUCUGGAUUCAGUGUUUUAAAUUUGUGUUUGUGCCAAUUUGUGCCAUUUCUUAGAAGUGUGAUAGAAAGGGUUUUUGACCAAUUUGCUGACAAUUUACU